rnacentral:sRNA from 1 species
AAUUACCACUCGUACACUGCGUCUCCUCUGCGCCGUCCACACCCGAUUGAUGGCCGUCCGCUAAAUUUUUAAGCC